ACUAUCUCCAACGACCCAGGGGCGGAGCCGCGAGGGUACGUCAUCAACCCCUCCCCGAAGAGCCCCAAAUGGUCACCAGGGGACAGCACAGGACUGAAGUCGCAAAAUCCAUCAGCAAUGGAAGGGGACGUUGAAAACACGCAAGUAAAAGGUUACAUCAAACACUGGACGUCAAAUCGUAGCUGAUAUACAAGAGAACUUCAAGAAACCGGUAAAAUUUCAAGACAUAAAUUGCAUCCCAGACGGUACCCUUGGAGCGGACCAAUCAGAGAAGAGUUGGUAAUGACGCAUCAGAGCGGCAGAGGAGCGCUCGCCGCCGGAGGCUGACAGACAGAUCCCUGGGGGGACUCCGGCCGAGUGACACACGCCCGAUCCCUGGGGGACUCCGGCUGAGUGACACACGCCCGAUCCCACCAUACUCCACCAGCCCGCGGCGUUGACAGCUAGUUGCGCCGCCCAUCAUCGGCACUCCAACCGGCGACCUGAUGUGGCCGGGUCUCCGCCGCUGCGGCGCUGGCGCCCCGGUGACUGUUCCGCUGCGGCGCUGGCGAUCCGGGAGUCCCGCUGCGGCGCCGGCAGUCCGGGAGUGCACCACUGCAGCACUGACAGCCCGUGGUGCUGAGCCACUGCAUCGCCUGCAGCGCGGGCGUUGUACCACUGCAGGUACUGCAGCACCGGUGGCGGCGCCGUCAACGCGAGGGUUGCACCACUGCAUAACCAGCAGCCCGUCAACUGUAUCACUGCAGUAUCGUCAGCCGUGGGGCUGAACCGCCGCAACACCGACUGCCUGAAGGAUCCAUCGCCGCUGCGCUGGCGGCCCGAAGGCUGUACCGUCGUGUCACCGUCAGCUCGAGGGCUGUGCCGCUGGGGCGCCGGUCGCCGUGCCGCCGUGGCGCUGUCGGUUGUUUGCUGCGCCGCCGCGGCGCCCUCGUCCGGGGGGCUGUGCCGCCGCGGCGCCGGGGGCCUGAUGGCUGUACUGUCGCGGCCCCGGGGUCCGGGGGCUGUGCCGUUGCUUCACCGUCAGCCUGGGGGCUGUACUGCUGGGGCGCCGGCGACCCGGCGGCCACGCUGCCGGAGUACCAUUGGCUGUGGGCUGCGCCGCCCCGCGGCACAAUCAUCCGAGGGCUGCGCCGCCGUGGCGCCGGCGGCCUGAUGGCUUUACCGCCGUGGCGCCGACGGCCGGGCGGCUGUGCCGCCGGUCGGCGCUACGGCAUGCUGGCGCCAUCUACCGCCACCUACGACGGCGCCGCGGCCGUUUAAUCGACGGCGCGCAUGCUGGCUGGAGGUCAGCGGUACCCGUCCGAGGAGGGGCAAUGCUGGCCGUUUUUCACUCUGACUUUUUGUUGUUAAUGAUGGCGUCACCUCCUUUACCAACCUUCACUAACAACUAACUGUCUUCUCUCUAACAUUACUAAUCCAUCUGAUCUCCUGUAUCCUUGCCAGCCGGUGGCGCCAUCUAUCUAUUCACUAUUUUUGUUCGUUGACUCAAACUACAUACCUUAUUUGCCUAUUUUUUCUGUAUUGAUUAAUAAACCGCCGGUGGAAACCGGAAGAGAGAGGUAA